rnacentral:rRNA from 1 species
UGCGUAGGCGGAAUAUUAAGUCAGUGGUGAAAUCCCAGAGCUCAACUCUGGAACUGCCAUUGAAACUGGUAUUCUUGAAUAUAGUUGAGGUAGGCGGAAUGUGUAAUGUAGCGGUGAAAUGCUUAGAUAUUACACAGAACACCGAUUGCGAAGGCAGCUUACUAAACUAUGAUUGCCGCUGAUGCACGAAAGCGUGGGGAGCGAACAGGAUUAGAUACCCUGGUAGUCC